GCCGGGGUGGCCGAGUGGAUAAGGCGCAGGCCUUGAGAGCCUGUGGCCCUUGUUGGGCCGCAUGGGUUCGAAUCCCAUCCCCGGCGCCA
rnacentral:tRNA from 1 species